AAUGCUGACAUAAGUAACGAUAAAGCGGGUGAAAAGCCCGCUCGCCGGAAGACCAAGGGUUCCUGUCCAACGUUAAUCGGGGCAGGGUGAGUCGACCCCUAAGGCGAGGCCGAAAGGCGUAGUCGAUGGGAAACGGGUUAAUAUUCCCGUACUUGGUGUUACUGCGAAGGGGGGACGGAGAAGGCUAUGUUGGCCGGGCGACGGUUGUCCCGGUUUAAGCGUGUAGGUGUGUGUUCCAGGUAAAUCCGGUUCACUUUAACACUGAGGCGUGACGACGAGGCACUACGGUGCUGAAGCAACAAAUGCCCUGCUUCCAGGAAAAGCCUCUAAGCAUCAGGUAACAUCAAAUCGUACCCCAAACCGACACAGGUGGUCAGGUAGAGAAUACCAAGGCGCUUGAGAGAACUCGGGUGAAGGAACUAGGCAAAAUGGUGCCGUAA
rnacentral:rRNA from 2 species